rnacentral:rRNA from 1 species
AUUGAACGCUGGCGGCAGGCCUAACACAUGCAAGUCGAGCGGAUGAAGGGAGCUUGCUCCUGGAUUCAGCGGCGGACGGGUGAGUAAUGCCUAGGAAUCUGCCUUGUAGUGGGGGAUAACGUCCGGAAACGGGCGCUAAUACCGCAUACGUCCUGAGGGAGAAAGUGGGGGAUCUUCGGACCUCACGCUAUCAGAUGAGCCUAGGUCGGAUUAGCUAGUUGGUGGGGUAAAGGCCUACCAAGGCGACGAUCCGUAACUGGUCUGAGAGGAUGAUCAGUCACACUGGAACUGAGACACGGUCCAGACUCCUACGGGAGGCAGCAGUGGGGAAUAUUGGACAAUGGGCGAAAGCCUGAUCCAGCCAUGCCGCGUGUGUGAAGAAGGUCUUCGGAUUGUAAAGCACUUUAAGUUGGGAGGAAGGAAAGUAAGUUAAUACCUUGCUGUUUUGACGUUACCAACAGAAUAAGCACCGGCUAACUUCGUG